UGCCAGCAGCCGCGGUAAUACAGAGGUCUCAAGCGUUGUUCGGAAUCACUGGGCGUAAAGGGUGCGUAGGUGGCGUGGUAAGUCAGAUGUGAAAGCCCGGGGCUCAACCUCGGAAUUGCAUCCGAUACUGCCGUGCUAGAGUACUGAAGAGGUGACUAGAAUUCUCGGUGUAGCAGUGAAAUGCGUAGAUAUCGAGAGGAAUACCAACGGCGAAGGCAGGUCACUGGGCAGUUACUGACACUGAGGCACGAAGGCCAGGGGAGCAAACGGGAUUAGAUACCCCGGUAGUCCUGGCAGUAAACGGUGCACAUUUGGUGUGGGCGCAAUCGACCGCGUCCGCGCCGGAGCUAACGCGUUAAAUGUGCCGCCUGGGAAGUACGGUCGCAAGAUUAAAACUUAAAGAAAUUGACGG
rnacentral:rRNA from 1 species